rnacentral:rRNA from 1 species
AUGUGCUUUGAGUUCGGCUCGUGUUUCGGCGGCAGGACGGACGACUACGGCAGCGAGCGGCCCAGCUGCAGGGAGGAGCAUGGCGGCGGCCCGUCGACCAAGCGCCGCGACCGCAGAGGGAACCACGGGACCGGCGCCGAUAGCCACAAACCGGCGUACCACCACCAGCCGCUCGCCGUAGUGGACGAGGCCGGGCACAAGGCCUACCACGACGGCAUGCGGAAAGCCGACCACGCUGGCGCUGGUGCCCGCGGGCCGCGGCGGUUACGCCGCCUAUGCGCAACACAAGGCCGACAUCGGGAUGCCAAAGCUUCCCGCGUGGCACAACAAGGUCGGCGACGACGCCUACACAGCGCGCCUCCAAGAAGCUGCUGA